rnacentral:tRNA from 1 species
GGGCUCGUAGCUCAGCGGUAGAGCAGCCGGCUCAUAACUGGUCGCGCGCUGGUUCGAAUCCAGCCGGGCCCA